CAUGCCGCGUGUAUGAAGAAGGCCUUCGGGUUGUAAAGUACUUUCAGCGGGGAGGAAGGGAGUAAAGUUAAUACCUUUGCUCAUUGACGUUACCCGCAGAAGAAGCACCGGCUAACUCCGUGCCAGCACCUGCGGUGACUGAGCGGGCUGGCAAGGCGCAUA
rnacentral:rRNA from 1 species